GGAAUAUUGGACAAUGGGCGCAAGCCUGAUCCAGCCAUGCCGCGUGCAGGAUGACGGUCCUAUGGAUUGUAAACUGCUUUUAUACGAGAAGAAACACUGCUACGUGUAGCAGCUUGACGGUAUCGUAAGAAUAAGGAUCGGCUAACUCCGUGCCAGCAGCCGCGGUAAUACGGAGGAUCCAAGCGUUAUCCGGAAUCAUUGGGUUUAAAGGGUCCGUAGGCGGUUUAAUAAGUCAGUGGUGAAAGCCCAUCGCUCAACGGUGGAACGGCCAUUGAUACUGUUAGACUUGAAUUAUUAGGAAGUAACUAGAAUAUGUAGUGUAGCGGUGAAAUGCUUAGAGAUUACAUGGAAUACCAAUUGCGAAGGCAGGUUACUACUAAUUGAUUGACGCUGAUGGACGAAAGCGUGGGUAGCGAACAGGAUUAGAUACCCUUG
rnacentral:rRNA from 1 species